AACAGGUCAUACCUGUCAUAAUGGAGAGUGAAAUUUCAGAAAAUUGGACAUCGCAAUUUCCUCAGAUCUUCGCAGCUGAACGCAGCAAAUUGAAACCCUAGUUUUACUAAUCCACCAUAGUCAUCUUCAUCAGGAAAUUGAGUGGAAAUGCAGCACGCUCCAGCGACGAUCGAGGAACAGUUGUUACUAAAAGCAAUCAAAGAAGAAUGUCCGUGGGAGAAUCUCCCAAAACGGCUUCAAGUGACAUUGUCUUCGAAAGAAGAAUGGCAUAGAAGGGUAAUUGAGCAUUGCAUAAAGAAAAGACUCCCAUGGAGCACUUGUUUUGCUCGAAAAGUAUGCAAAGAAAGUGAAUAUUAUGAAGACAUGAUGCGGUACUUGAGAAAGAAUUUAGCGCUAUUUCCCUAUCACCUUGCGGAGUAUGUUUGCCGUGUAAUGCGGGUAUCGCCUUUCAGAUAUUACUGUGAUAUGAUUUUUGAGGUUAUGAAAAAUGAACAACCUUAUGACAGCAUCCCCAAUUUUAGCGCUGCAGAUGCCUUGCGGCUUACAGGGAUAGGGAGAAACGAAUUUAUUGAUAUAAUGAAUAAGUGCAGAUCUAAGAAAAUUAUGUGGAAGCUGAACAAGUCAAUUGCAAAAGAGCUUUUACCUACACAACCCGUGGAUUUUGCAAUUGAUCCAUGGUGGGGAAUUUGUCUUGUGAAUUUCACACUGGAAGAAUUUAAGAAACUCUCGGAGGAAGAAAUGGCAACAAUAGAUAAAAUAUGUAAAGAGGAAGCAAAUUCAUAUAUCCUGUUCGAUCCUGAUAUUGUCAAGGGUCUUCACCAACGAGGAUUAAUAUACUUUGAUGUCCCUGUUUAUCCUGAUGAUCGUUUCAAAGUUUCCAGGCUUGAAGGGUUUGUUUCCAACAGGGAGCAGUCUUACGAAGAUCCUAUAGAGGAGUUACUAUAUGCAGUUUUUGUUGUUUCAAGUGAGCAUGCAACUGUUGCCGAACUGGCAACAACAUUACAGGCUGACCUUGCACAACUGCAGGCUGCUGCGUCUUUUGCAUGUCGAUUGGGAUGGGCAGUAAAAGUAUUUGAUCCAGCAUCUGUUCUUCGAGAUACAAGUUUACCUGGAUCUCCUAGAAACAGUCUCAGUGAUGAAGAUGCUUCUCGUCGUAGUAUAAGCUCAGCAAAUAUGUUUGCUGAUGGUGAUGCUAGUCUACAAGGAGAUGUUUCAGGGACAGAAAACUAUGGCCUAAGUUCUUUGCAUGAUCGCGUUGCGUUUGUUGUUGAUGCUAACAUAACAUCCUAUCUUAUGAUGGGGUCUGUUUCACCAGGUUUGAAAUCUCAUGCUGUAACGCUUUAUGAAGCGGGAAAGUUGGGUCAUGCUAGCAUUACGGAUCUUUGUAAGGAUCUGAGUACACUAGAGGGAACAAAAUUUGAAGGAGAACUACAGGAAUUUGCAAAUCAUGCAUUUAGCCUCCGUUGUGUUCUGGAAUGCCUUCAAUCAGGAGGAGUUGCAACUGAUGUGAAAACAGAUGAAGUUUGCAAUAACAUGGAUAUGAUAGCUUCAAACAACGAUGAGGCCACACUCAUAGCUGAUGUAACUUUGACUGAAAAAUCAGGUCACUUGACUGGGCAAGAAGUUGGGUUCGAUGAUGAUGUUUCUGUGAAAUCAGGGAUGCCCCAGGAAGGUUCUGUUUUGGCUGAACCUGUUAGUGAUAGAAGUGAUGAAAUAAUAAUUGGUACUUCAUCAGAAGAUAGCACCAGCUUAACUGAAGUCCCUAAAUCAGACUUGAAUCCGCAGAGUAAUGAGAAACAGGUGCGUGAUGAAGGGUCAGAUGUUGGAAAAGAAAUGUUAAAGAGGAAAAAUAAAUUCCGAGUGGAUAUCCUUCGCUGUGAAAGCUUGGCGUCUCUUGCACCAGCAACUUUAGAUCGGUUGUUUCGUCGCGACUAUGAUAUUGUUGUGUCUAUGAUUCCUCUUCCACCUUUGUCAGUACUUCCUGGACCAGCAGGUCCUUUUAAUUUUGGUCCUCCCUCUUAUUCAUGCAUGACACCUUGGAUGAAAUUAGUAUUGUACUCAACUGUGGCCUGUGGACCUCUAUCAGUUAUUCUGAUGAAAGGACAAUGUUUACGCUUGCUUCCUGCCCCACUGGCUGGUUGUGAGAAAGCCCUUUUGUGGUCUUGGGAUGGUUCUACAAUUGGAGGUUUGGGAGGCAAGUUUGAAGGAAAUCUGGUAAAGGGAAGCAUACUUUUACAUUGUUUAAAUUCACUUCUUAAAUACUCUGCCGUACUAGUGCAGCCCCUCAGUAAGUAUGACCUUGAUGAAUCUGGAAGAAUCAUCACUAUGGAUAUUCCAUUACCCCUAAAGAACUCUGAUGGUUCAGUUGCUUGCAUAGGGAAGGAAUUGGACAUGUGCGAGAAGGAAAGUUCAAAACUGAAUUCUCUGUUAGUUGAUUUGACAAGCAAGAUAGAGUUGUGGACAGUUGGCUAUAUUCGCUUGUUGAAACUUUUUAAAGAAAGAGAUUCAGAGCACUUUGCACCUGAUGAUGAGAAGUUUGAAUGGGUCCCAUUGAGUGUAGAAUUUGGGAUGCCACUGUUUAGUCCAAAAUUAUGCAAUAAUAUAUGUAAAAGAGUGGUCUCAUCGCAAUUACUUCAAAAAGAUUUACUCACUGAACAUCACGAUGCAAUGCAAAGCUUACGGAAAAGGUUGCGUGAUGUUUGUGCAGAGUACCAAGCAACAGGUCCUGCUGCUAAACUUAUUUACCAGAAAGAGCAAUCAAAGGACUUUUCACGACAUCUCAUGAAUUAUGCAAGUGGAAGGUGGAAUCCACUUGUCGAUUCUUCUUCUCCCAUUUCAGGAGCCUCGAGUGAGCAUCAGAGACUCAAACUUGCUAACCGACAUCGUUCCCGAACUGAAGUUUUGAGCUUUGAUGGAAGCAUUCUAAGAUCAUAUGCUCUAUCUCCUGUUUAUGAGGCUGCCACAAGGCCUGUUGAAGAAGCCCCUCCAGUUAGCACUACAAAAGUUGAGCAAGAAGAAGCUGACAGCAGAGAAGUAGUCCUUCCUGGUGUUAAUCUUGUUUUUGAUGCCUCUGAGUUGCACCCCUUCGAGAUAGGUGCUUGUCUACAGGCUCGUCAACCAGUCUCAUUAAUAGCAGAGGCAGCAGCUGCCUCUGCAGUUAUUCAACAAAGUAGGGCUUCAUGAUAGAAUCUUGCUUGGAUGGCAUAUAUAGAAGAAUUCAUCACGUUACUAGUGAGUAACAAUUAGGAAUUGUCAUGUCCUUCACGCUUGUUUUAUUCUGAUUAGUUGGCUCGUCUGCUCAUCUUUGAGGUUGGUCAAUGCGCAUCAGCUACAGCUUUGUUCAAAGACUUUGUGAGACUUUGUGAGACAACUUUAUGUUGAAGUGCAUGGGCCCUCAUUUGAAAAAAAAGAAGAUUAAAUUAAAAUUCUUUGCUGUCAUCAAGUGCAAAGCUCUUGAGUUGAGCAUCUGAAAACAUUAUUUUUUGUCUAUGAAGUAGUACUGACUGGAAAGGUUUUCCUUUCUGAAACUGACUACCUCUGUAAGUUUUCCCCUCUUGCUUUGCCCAAUAUUGAUUCAUAUUUUAUUAC